UCGGCUCACUGCAAGCUCCGCCUCCCGGGUUCUCGCCAUUCUCCUGCCUCAGCCUUCCGAGUAGCUGGGACUAUAGGUGCCCGCCACCACGCCAGGCUAAUUUUUUGUAUUUUUAGUAGAGAUGGGGUUUCACCGUGUUAGCCAGGAUGGUCUCGAUCUUCUGACCUCGUGAUCCGCCCGCCUCGGCCUCCCAAAGUGCUAGGAUUACAGGCGUGAGCCACCGCGCCCGGCAGCAAAUUUUAAGUAUUGAUGGAUGGUUGGGUGACAUGGACUCCAGUAUGUGCCAUGAAGGAUACGAAGAUGAAGCUGUCAUGAACUCUGCUCUCGAGAAGCUACUGUCAAAGUUUGUUUUUUUUAAACUUGAUAUAUUUGAGGUAGAAUUGACAAGAUUUUAGUAUUGAUGAAAUAAGAUAAAAGGGAUGGUGAAAUUAAUGAUGACUUUAGCCAAAAUAAUUAAUUCAGGUGGGGAGGAGAGAAGGGGAUUGACUGAAUUCUAGUUGACUGAGGCUUACUCAUAGUGGGAAGAGCUGUGAGCCAUGUACUGUUUUAUUUAUUGUUUUGUUUUCGGGUUUUGUUUUUCAAUACCAAAAGUGGAUAUUCAUGGAGUCUGAGAAGCUAGGAUUAGAAAUGCAGUAUGUGACAGCAGAAUGGCAAUGUCAUAAACCGUCACUGUGCUAGGUUCUAGAAAUAAAAUAUAGUUGAUCCUUGAACAACACAGAUUUGAAGUGCCUGGGUCCACUUACAUGCAGAUUUUCAUCCACUUCUGCCAUCCCUGAUACAGCAAGAACAACACCUCCUCUUUCUUCUCCUCCUCAGCCUUCUCAAUGUGAACACCACAAGGAUGAAGACCUUUAUAAUGAUCCAUCUCCACUUAAUUAAGAAUAAAUAUUUUUUCUCUUACUCAUGAUUUUAUUAAUGGUAUUUUCUUUUCUCUAGCUUACUUUAUUAUAAAAAUACAGUAUAUAAUACAUAUAGCACACAAAAUAUGUGUUGAUCGACUAUUUAUGUUAUUGAUAAGGCUUCCGGUCAAAAGUAGGCUAAUAGUAGCUACAUUUUUUGGCAAAUCAAAGGCUAAUUACUUGGAUCUGAUCACUAUACAUUAUGUAUAUCACAACAUCACUAUGUGCCCCAUAAAUAUGUACAAUUAUUGUGUUUAUUUAAAAUUUGGAAAAUAAAAAGUUACAAAACAUUUUUUUAAAAUUUAAAAUUUAAAAGUUCUAUGUGGAUUUUUGAGUGCAUGGGUAAGUUGUCACCCCUAACCCCCGUGGUUCCAGGAUCAACUGUAGUGUGUAUUCUUACUGACUCAAAAUUCUUUAUAUUUAUCUGCUUCUCCACCACUCGCCACUUCAAAUGAACAAUUAACUUGUCAAAGAUUAUUUUCCUCAAUACACAACUUCCUAUUUCUCACUCUCCCUCAUCUCCUCUUUCUUUCUUCUUGCCUCUUAUUAAAACCCAAAAGUUGAUAAGAAAGUGGAAUUAAAGAUAGAAUUUGUGUAUAAACAGACUUAACUGUAGUGUUCAUUCUUUUCCAUUUCCUAAAUUGUCCAAUUUCACCAGACAAUGACCUCAAUCUAGCCUAGAAUAAUAAAAACAAUUACCAGCUACUCUAUUGCAUGAAUAAGCCCUAGUUUUACUUUGCAAGCAUCCCAUUAAGUGUUUGCUGGAUUUUUCUAUUUUCCUUCUCUAUGUCAGAGUCAAGGCAAGCAUCACAAGCCAAGUAGCCACCCUGCUAACUGGAAGGUAAAAGAAGAGCCAGGGGAGGGAAACAGACUCAGAGACUAUCAAUUUUCCCUGAACUAGAACAACCUAUUCUUAUCAGAGAAGAUGAGCAUCACUUAACAUUUGACAAACCACUGUCCCCAGAGUGCAUUACCAUGGUAAUCCA
rnacentral:lncRNA from 10 species